UUUCCUUUUUUUUUUCUUUUCCUUUUUCGCCUACAGCUCCCGGGGCUGUUUCAGCAUUAGAAAUUAUUGAUGUCUUUACUGCCUAGAUAAAAGUGUUUGACAAAAAUUGUGGGUAGUUAUGGUUCCACUGAAACUAUUAUAUGAGCAAGACAGGAUUGUGGCUCUUUGGGACACGGACUAAGCCUUCCCGGGGGCUGCUGUCCGACUGAUGGGGGGAGCAGCAGGCAUGAUUUUGUGGAAAAGCAGAAAGAGGUAAAAUGAGCUGCUGACUGUCUGCUCGUCACUAACAUCACUGCAUCAACUAGAGGCUCAGAGGCUCUGUACCUAUAGAUUUGCCAUUAUUAGUGCUGUAAAUACACUGUGGAAAAGAUGAUGUAACUGAGCAUUGUGUUUCUAUAUAAAAAAAAAAAUUAAGACAACCCUUAUCCAGUCAACUCAUAAAACUGGCUAUAAAGAUGCAGCCUAUGGGGUAUAAAAGUCUCCAUGUUCAUAAGUGGAAACUCACUGCAUCUUGGCAACAUCCCUCCUUAGCAACAAAAUGAAUAAGUGCAUUCCCAGAUAUAGCCUUUAAAACAUACAGUAUAUAGUUUUGCUUUGAUGAAAAAAAGGAUUAUCUCUUAAAAGAUCAGGUUAAUCUAAACUACAUAUUUAGAAUUGCUCUA